UUAGAUUGUAGAGAAAAAUGUAUGCAUUAGUGAAAUAUACUGAUGUAUAUUAUGUAUGUAAUUCGAAAUAUAUUACAAGGAAAAAAGAUGAGAAAGGUUACUUAUAAGGAUGAUCGUAGGUAUCCAGCAAGCAUUAUUGUAAAACACGAUAAUAAAAUGUUAUUAGAAGAAGCUAAACGAAGUAUUGCAAUAAGUGAACCACGUAUAUUAUUGGACAAAUUACUUCACAUAUUGAAUAUUGAGAACAAUAAUAUCAACAAGUAACUUGAAAAGCAAAAGACUGAUACAAAUAGAAACUGUGAUUAUAUGUAGUCAAAUGAUAUAAUCGAAAAAGUACAAUUAACCUAACAAAUGUCACAUAUAAAAAGGGUCUUAAGUAUGCAGCAAGUGUUAUUGCAAACAUGAAGAAGCAAGGCAUGACGUUAAAAUAGAUGUACCACAUAUAUUAUUGGACAAACCACUUCAAAUAUUGGGUAUUGAGAACAAUGAUUAAUAAUAUAACUCAUAUCAUUGAUAAAGAAAGCAAAAAAUUGAUAUAAAUACAGAUGGUGAGAUUCUUACAUUAAAUGUUGAUAUAACUUCUGUCAUAAAGGCUAAUGUUCUUAAUAUAAAUAAUAAUGUUUCUGAACUAAAUGUAAUUAU